UUUGAGUGAAAUCCAAUGGCUAAAACUAUGCAAUACACUAACCACUCCAUUUCAGAACGAACUUCGUACGAACAUGAAUUGUCCAAUUUCAUGGACCAAUCGAUAUCGGAUUGAGUCCAAAAUUUGGGGAUCAUCAUAAUACGGUGGGAGGAGUCAUUUGGUGGGUUUUGAGUGAAAUCCAAUCUCUACAACUAUGCAAUACACCAACCACUCCAUUUC
rnacentral:lncRNA from 1 species